rnacentral:rRNA from 1 species
UACGGAGGGUGCAAGCGUUGUCCGGAUUUAUUGGGUUUAAAGGGUGCGUAGGCGGCCCGUUAAGUCAGUGGUGAAAGCCUCCAGCUCAACUGGAGAACUGCCAUUGAUACUGACGGGCUUGAGUACAGACGAGGUAGGCGGAAUUGAUUGUGUAGCGGUGAAAUGCAUAGAUACAAUCAAGAACACCGAUUGCGUAGGCAGCUUACUAGGCUGUAACUGACGCUGAGGCACGAAAAGCGUGGGGGAGCGAACAGG